CCUGUCUGCUACCGUCCUGUCUUCUUUAAUGAGCAUUUACUGUACAAAAUCCUUGCUCCUUUGCUUUCUUGCUCUUCUCCAUUAUGUUUACUUGCCUAGUGCUGAAACUUUCGAUUACCCAACUGCAAACCUCUCUACAUCAUGGACCAAUAGUCCCUCUCUUCCCCAUUCUGUAAAUUUCACAGAUGGAUCAAUGGUGAGAGCCAUCCUUGUCAGGGGAAGCUUUGGUCCAAGGUUCGCUUGCGGUUUCUUCUGCAAUGGAGCCUGCGACUCUUACCUCUUUGCCAUUUUCAUUGUUCAAACCAAUAGUAUUUCAUAUAUAACCUCUCCUAGUAUUGGUUUUCCUCAAGUAGUUUGGUCUGCCAACAGAAACAAUCCUGUUAGAAUCAAUUC
rnacentral:misc_RNA from 1 species